AGCAAGGCUUCUAGGAGAGAGAAGGAGGACACGGAGGGAAUCCACUCCUCUAAAUACUGCUCCCUGAUUGCGUCCAAUUGGAACCAGCUGGAGGCUCGUCAGGACUGGAGUCUGAGGAGGAAAAGGUAAGAAAGAACCCUAACACAGCUCAGCACACAAUCCAGUGGGCCCAACAUGGUCCAGAUGAAACAGCAAUAAAUGGUUUGGUCCUCA